ACAUACCAUGGAAGUACUUGCGAAGGAAUUACUUACAGAACCGAAUCCGUGUAUACAGGCCCUGAGCAUUGUACCUUGGAUGAUCAAGCUUCCAUUGUAACUGUUGAGCAGUAUGGAUCACGUAACUCUUCUAGCGAAUGCAACAUCGAGUCUGCGUCAUCGCCAGACUCACAUUCAUCUUCUCCACAACCCUCUGCUAGUUGGAACGCUCUAACAUGCUUCCAGAACUUUAGCUUUAAUUUGGAUCGCAACCGCCACUUGCUGCAGA